UUUCAAACAGGGGAUUUACCUUCAAUUCGACGUCGAUUAUCGUCGACGCAAACAGUUUGACAGUUCUCUUCAGUUGAUCUUGUUCGGACUUGAUCAAAUCAGAAAAACAAUAUUGUUGUAAAGGUUCGUGAGGAUUUUGGCUGGUUGAUUGACUUCCUGAUUUCAGCCUUCGCGACGGUGGAAGAGAACGUGAAACAUCGUUAACCCGGCGGAUCAUGCCGGAAGAUGGGACGGGAAGGAACCGGUCUGCGAUCGAAAGCGGAUUGGGAUUAUCGAGCGGUCGGUAUUGGAAGUUUGGUCCAGCCACUUUUCUUGGAGGAUGGUAAAACGACCGAAACGUUCUUUCCAGUGGUCGAUCCGGAUACGACGGCACAAUCCGUCGUCUACCGAGAGCAUUGCACGGCCACUUACCUGCUUCAAACACCUCAAGGGAUAACGCAUCGGAACUAAUCCGGAAGGACCGAAUUGCGGUUUCAAUGUUAUGGUCGAGUUCUUCUUCCGGUUAUCGGACUAAGUUUGGAAAGUUUCUCUAGUGCAAUUAUUCAGAUAUUCCGAAGGAAAAGCGUUUCCAACUUCACUCGACGGAAACUGCUCAGAAGGUGUUAAAAAUGUCACCGCGCUAUCGCUGUCGAAUCACUCUUCAUCGUGCAAUCAUCCGGUCGGCAAGACUGCCAAAUCCAAACCCUAAUGAACCAUUAAUUUACACACGUUGAACAGUAAACUGUACUAUCGAUAUUAUAUUUAAAUGUGAGCAUUAACUGAAAAUAAAACAAUUAAAUCUAUUUUUAAUUGCAAAAAAAGCUAAAAGGGUUUAUUGAAUAAAAAAUUCGGAUGUUUCAUUCAACCCCACAUGUUUGUAGGUUCAACAAACAUGUUUGUUACACCGACCAUAAUGAUUAUUGGAAUUACAAACAAGCUACGUUUUAAUGGCAACUAUUUCGUUUAUCAAACCCACAAACUUGUUAGGUUGAAUUUGAUAAACAUG